CUCAGUUAACGAAGUAUCAUACUUAGUGGCAGACGGGUAGUAACAUGUAUGUAUCUACCCUUUGGCCUGAGAAUAACACGAGUGAAACUUGUGCUAAUACCUGGAUAAGUCUUUACGUGAGAAAGCUUUAUGCACCAUUGGAUGAGCCUGCACUUGAUUAGUUUGUUGGUGGGGUAAUGGCCUACCAAGACUGUGAUCACUAGCUGAUUUGAGAGGAUUAUCAGCCACAUUGGGACUGAGACACGGCCCAAACUCCUACGGGACUGCAGCAGUGUGGCAUCUUGCACAAUGGAGGAAACUCUGAUAUCACGAUGCCGCGUUAAUUAAGAAAGGCUUUGGGUUGUACAGCUCUUUCCGCGGGGAAGAAAAUGAUUGUCCCGAAUAAAAAAGGUCCGGUAACUUCGUGCCAGCAGCGCGGUAAUACGAAGGGAGCUAAGCGUAAUUCGGAAUUUACUUGGGCUUUAAGAGUUCGAAGGUGGAGGAAAAUGUAGUGGUGAAUCCCGACUUAUAUCUUGACUUGCCUUAAAACUUACAACUCCAGAAUGUAGAGGAAACAAAUUUCUACUUACCAGAGACAU
rnacentral:rRNA from 1 species